UACGUAGGGUGCAAGCGUUUGUCCGGAAUUAUUGGGCGUAAAGAGCUCGUAGGCGGUCUGUCGCGUCGGCUGUGAAAACCCGGAGCUCAACUCCGGGCCUGCAGUCGAUACGGGCAAACUGGAGUGUUGCAGGGGAGACUGGAAUUCCUGGUGUAGCGGUGAAAUGCGCAGAUAUCAGGAGGAACACCGGUGGCGAAGGCGGGUCUCUGGGCAACAACGUACGUGAGGAGCGAAAGCG
rnacentral:rRNA from 1 species